rnacentral:rRNA from 1 species
UACGGAGGGUCCGAGCGUUAUCCGGAAUCAUUGGGUUUAAAGGGUCCGUAGGCGGUUUAAUAAGUCAGUGGUGAAAUCUGGUCGCUCAACGAUCAAACGGCCAUUGAUACUGUUAGACUUGAAUUAUUGUGAAGUAACUAGAAUAUGUAGUGUAGCGGUGAAAUGCUUAGAUAUUACAUGGAAUACCAAUUGCGAAGGCAGGUUACUAACAAUACAUUGACGCUGAUGGACGAAAGCGUGGGGAGCGAACAGG